rnacentral:tRNA from 1 species
CAGGGUAUAGCUUAGUUGGUAAAGCGCCGGGCUGGGGGUCCGGAGACCGGAGGUUCAAGUCCUCUUACCCUGACCA